rnacentral:tRNA from 1 species
UUAGCUGAAACCAAAAAGAGGUGUAUUACUGUUAAUAAUACCAUUGAAUAGAGAAUUCCAGUUAAG